rnacentral:piRNA from 1 species
UAUCAUAUGAAAAAUGCUUUGGUGUGCUG